rnacentral:rRNA from 1 species
UACGAAGGGGGCUAGCGUUGUUCGGAAUCACUGGGCGUAAAGGGCGCGUAGGCGGCUGUUCAAGUCGGGUGUGAAACCCUCAGGCUCAACCUGGGGACGCCACCCGAUACUGCUGUGGCUAGAGUCCAGUAGGGGAGUGUGGAAUUCCCGGUGUAGCGGUGAAAUGCGCAGAUAUCGGGAGGAACACCAGCGGCGAAGGCGGCACUCUGGGCUGGUACUGACGCUGAGGAGCGAAAGCGUGGGUAGCAAACAGG